GUCAGGGACCAGUUAACAAUGACAUGGGUGGAGGGUCUGUCAUAUAGCGCCUCGAUCCAAUCCCUGAUGUGCUGCCCCACAAGUAUUCCCAGCAAACCCUGCCGAAGGCCUUCUCCGCAACCAUGAAUAGCAGGAGAAGGCCUCCACUCUCCCACUGCUGUCCGUGCAUGAGGGUCAGUGCCCUGAUUGUCUUGUCAUUUGACUCAUGUCCUGUCACAAAACCCACCUGAUCUGUGUGCGCCAGUGUAGGGAUGUGGGUUUGAAAGCGUGUGGCUAAGAUUUUUCGCCUUCACUUUGACAUUGCAAUUAAUGAGCAAGAUGGGCCUGUAGUUCCUGCAGUGUUCCUCGUCCUUGCCCCCUUUUGGUAUGAUUGUGAUGUGUGCUGUCAGCGAUUGUUUGGGCAGACGGUGUCCUUCCCGUAUUGCGUUAUGAGUCCAACAGUGGGGAGUAGAGGUUGUCGGCAAAUGUUUU